UGGGGAAUAUUGCACAAUGGGCGCAAGCCUGAUGCAGCCAUGCCGCGUGUGUGAAGAAGGCCUUCGGGUUGUAAAGCACUUUCAGCGAGGAGGAAGGUGGUGAGCUUAAUACGCUCAUCAAUUGACGUUACUCGCAGAAGAAGCACCGGCUAACUCCGUGCCAGCAGCCGCGGUAAUACGGAGGGUGCAAGCGUUAAUCGGAAUUACUGGGCGUAAAGCGCACGCAGGCGGUUUGUUAAGUCAGAUGUGAAAUCCCCGGGCUCAACCUGGGAACUGCAUUUGAAACUGGCAAGCUAGAGUCUCGUAGAGGGGGGUAGAAUUCCAGGUGUAGCGGUGAAAUGCGUAGAGAUCUGGAGGAAUACCGGUGGCGAAGGCGGCCCCCUGGACGAAGACUGACGCUCAGGUGCGAAAGCGUGGGGCAGCAAACAGGAUUAGAUACCCCUGGUAGUCCACGCUGUAAAACGAUGUCGAUUUUGGAGGUUGUGCCCCUUGAGGCGUGGCUUCCGGAGCUAACGCGUUAAAUCGACCGCCUGGGG
rnacentral:rRNA from 1 species